AUUGAACGCUGGCGGCAGGCCUAACACAUGCAAGUCGAACGCGUGGCGAACGGGUGAGUAACGUCUGGGAAACUGCCCGAUGGAGGGGGAUAACUACUGGAAACGGUAGCUAAUACCGCAUACCAUCGCCUUUGCCCAGAGGGGAUUAGUUAGUAGGUGGGGUAACGGCUCACGUAGGCGACGAUCCCUAGCUGGUCUGAGAGGAUGACAAGCCACACUGGAACUGAGACACGGUCCAGACUCCUACGGGAGGCAGCAGGGGGGAAUAUUGCACAAUGGGCGCAAGCCUGAUGCAGCCAUGCCGCGUGGAUGAAGAAGGCCUUCGGGUUGUAAAGUACUUUCAGCGAGGAGGCGUUACUCGCAGAAGAAGCACCGGCUAACUCCGUGCCAGCAGCCGCGGUAAUAC
rnacentral:rRNA from 1 species